UACGAAGGGGGCUAGCGUUGUUCGGAAUUACUGGGCGUAAAGCGCACGUAGGCGGAUAUUUAAGUCAGGGGUGAAAUCCCAGAGCUCAACUCUGGAACUGCCUUUGAUACUGGGUAUCUUGAGUAUGGAAGAGGUGAGUGGAAUUCCGAGUGUAGAGGUGAAAUUCGUAGAUAUUCGGAGGAACACCAGUUGCGAAGGCGGCUCACUGGUCCAUUACUGACGCUGAGGUGCGAAAGCGUGGGGAGCAAACAGG
rnacentral:rRNA from 1 species